AUCGUUUCUCUGCCUUUUGGCUAAGAUCAAGUGUAGUAUUUGUUCUUAUCAGUUUAGUGAUGUAUUAUUUAUUAUGUGCAAUGAAAGAAUUUUUUGACUAAAGUAGGAUGCAUGAUUUCCUAUUUUGAACUUUAAGAGAAAAGUUAUCCUCACUGACAACCUUGUCCCCACUAUA
ensembl:snRNA U2 U2 spliceosomal RNA